rnacentral:rRNA from 1 species
UGGCAUGGGGGGAACCCUGAUCAGCCUGCCGCGUGUGUGAAGAAGGCCUUUUGGUUGUAAAGCACUUUAAGCGAGGAGGAGGCUACUCUAGUUAAUACCUAGGGAUAGUGGACGUUACUCGCAGAAUAAGCACCGGCUAACUCUGUGCCAGCAGCCGCGGUAAUACAGAGGGUGCGAGCGUUAAUCGGAUUUACUGGGCGUAAAGCGUGCGUAGGUGGCCAAUUAAGUCAAAUGUGAAAUCCCCGAGCUUAACUUGGGAAUUGCAUUCGAUACUGGUUGGCUAGAGUAUGGGAGAGGAUGGUAGAAUUCCAGGUGUAGCGGUGAAAUGCGUAGAGAUCUGGAGGAAUACCGAUGGCGAAGGCAGCCAUCUGGCCUAAUACUGACACUGAGGUACGAAAGCAUGGGGAGC